GAGGCUCUCGAGGAUGGUUUUGGUUCUCUUAGAAAAAGUCCUAGGCUGUCAAUUAAAACUACAAAAGAAUUGCAAAAAUGUAGGAAGACAACCGCAGGAGAUAGGAAGACAACCGCAGGAAAAGAAAUAAGUAUCUUAAAAUCUGAAGAAAUUUCUAAUAAGGCACUUGAAAAAGUUGUAAGUGAAAAUAAUUUCCUUUUUUGUAACUUAUAAUUUGAUUUGAUUUGUUUUUUUUUUGUUAUUGUAGCAAUGUGAGGCUCUCGAGGAUGCUUUUGGUUCUCUUAGAAAAAGUCCUAGGCUGUCAAUUAAAACUACAAAAGAAUUGCAAAAAUGUAGGAAGACAACAGCAGAAGAAGAAAUAAGCGUGUUAAAACCUGUAGAAAUUUCUAAUAAGGCACUUGAAAAAGUUCAAAGUGAGGCUCUCGAGGAUGGUUCUGGUUCUCUUAGAAAAAGUCCUAGGCUGUCAAUUAAAACUACAAAAGAAUUGCAAAAAUGUAGGAAGACAACCGCAGGAGAAGAAAUAAGCAUGUUAAAACCUGAAGAAAUUUCUAAUAAGGCACUUGUAAAAGUUGUAAGUGAAAAUAAUUACCUUUGUUGCUACUUAUAAUUUGAUUUGAUUUGUUUUUUUUUUUGUUAUUGUAGCAAAGUGAGGCUCUCGAGGAUGGUUUUGGUUCUCUUAGAAAAAGUCUUAGGCUGUCAAUUAAAACUACAAAAGAAUUGCAAAAAUGUAGGAAGACAACAGCAGAAGAAGAAAUAAGCGUGUUAAAACCUGUAGAAAUUUCUAAUAAGGCACUUGAAAAAGUUCAAAGUGAGGCUCUCGAGGAUGGUUCUGGUUCUCUUAGAAAAAGUCCUAGGCUGUCAAUUAAAACUGCAAAAGAAUUGCAAAAAUGUAGGAAGACAACAGCAGGAGAAGAAAUAAGCAUGUUAAAACCUGAAGAAAUUUCUAAUAAGGCACUUGUAAAAGUUGUAAGUGAAAAUAAUUACCUUUGUUGCUACUUAUAAUUUGAUUUGAUUUGUUUUUUUUUUUUGUUAUUGUAGCAAAGUGAGGCUCUCGAGGAUGGUUUUGGUUCUCUUAGAAAAAGUCCUAGGCUGUCAAUUAAAACUACAAAAGAAUUGCAAAAAUGUAGGAAGACAACAGCAGAAGAAGAAAUAAGCGUGUUAAAACCUGUAGAAAUUUCUAAUAAGGCACUUGAAAAAGUUCAAAGUGAGGCUCUCGAGGAUGGUUCUGGUUCUCUUAGAAAAAGUCCUAGGCUGUCAAUUAAAACUGCAAAAGAAUUGCAAAAAUGUAGGAAGACAACAGCAGGAGAAGAAAUAAGCAUGUUAAAACCUGAAGAAAUUUCUAAUAAGGCACUUGAAAAAGUUGUAAGUGAAAAUAAUUAGUUUUUUUAUAACUUAUAAUUUGAUUUAAUUUGUUUUUUUUUUUUGUUAUUGUAGCAAA